rnacentral:snoRNA from 1 species
UUUUCGAAUGAUGAAAAAAAUGAUUUGAUAAUCUCUCGAGUCCUGGGCGCUCAUAUUGAACUCAAUACUUUUAGCACAGUUGAGCGGGAGUUUUAUAUGAAAUUAAAUAAAGUAGCUGACGAAAACAAUUCU